rnacentral:rRNA from 1 species
UACGAACGCUGGCGGCGUGCUUAACACAUGCAAGUCGAACGGUAAGGCCCCAGCUUGCUGGGGUACACGAGUGGCGAACGGGUGAGUAACACGUGGGUGACCUACCCUGCACUUCGGGAUAAGCCUGGGAAACUGGGUCUAAUACCGGAUAGGACUACACCGUGAGGGUGUGGUGGAAAGUUUUUCGGUGCAGGAUGGGCCCGCGGCCUAUCAGCUUGUUGGUGGGGUAAUGGCCUACCAAGGCGGCGACGGGUAGCCGGCCUGAGAGGGUGGACGGCCACAUUGGGACUGAGACACGGCCCAG